UUUGCCUACGGGACGCAGCAGUGGGGAAUAUUGCACAAUGGGGGAAACCCUGAUGCAGCAACGCCGCGUGGGUGAAGGAGCGUUUCGGCGCGUAAAGCCCUGUCAGCGGGGAAGAAGAAAGACGGUACCCGACCAAGAAGCUCCGGCUAACUACGUGCCAGCAGCCGCGGAAAUACGUAGGGGGCGAGCGUUAUCCGGAAUUACUGGGUGUAAAGGGAGCGUAGACGGCGCGGUAAGCCUGAAGUGGAAGCCUGCGGCCCAACCGCGGAACUGCUUUGGG
rnacentral:rRNA from 1 species